UAGAGAGGUUAGUUAGCAUUACUUGAUCAUCAUCAUCGACAUCAUUUGAUCAAUACAUCUAAAUCAUCAGAAAAAGUACGUACAUAGCAUAAAUAUUAUCAAAGAAGAAGAAGAAAAUCACUCAUUUUACCAUGGCCAAGAUUAGCAUGUUCCUCGGCUUCUUUUUGUUCGUCUUGAUUGCCAUGCCAACAUCUUCUUCCAGCAGGAUGAUACUCGAGGAAGUUGAAGCUGUUAACAAGUGCCCGAAAGUUCUGUGCCUACAAGUCGUGUGUCCACAAACAGUUUUUUGCCCACAGGCUGUGCUUGAAUGCCCAAAUGGUCAGUACAAGCCAUGCUGUGGUUGCCCAAGAUGCUGUUAACUUACCUAAGGGACACUGAUCGUACACGUAUCACAUAUUUUAUUUUUGAUAUACUGUAUUAUUUUUUGUAUUAAUGGCGUAUUCGAUGUAAUAGAACAUACGUAUAUGCACGUAAUUUCUUCAGAAAGUAAUAAAAUGCAUGCAGUUGCAAUGUUGCAUGUUUCAAAAUAAAAUAGAAUCCUAUGCUUAUCGAAAAUCUUCAAUAAAUGAUUACGAGUUGAUUUCAA